rnacentral:tRNA from 3 species
GCGGGCGUAGUUCAUCGGUAGAACGUCUCCUUGCCAAGGAGAAGGCAGAGGGUUCAAUUCCCUUCACCCGCU